rnacentral:rRNA from 1 species
AGUCAAUAGAUACCCCUGGUAGUCCACGCCGUAAAACGAUGAGUACUAGGUGUAGGAGGUAUCGACUCCUUCUGUGCCGCAGUUAAACACAAUAAGUACUCCGCCUGGGAAGUACGGUCGCAAGAUUAAAACUCAAAGGAAAUUGACGGGGGGUCCCGGCACAAGCAGCGGAGCAUGUGGUUUAAUUCGAAGCAACGCGAAGAACCUUACCUAGACUUGACAUCUCCUGAAUAGUGUAGAGAUACAUGAAGCCCUUCGGGGUCGAGGAAGACAGGUGGUGGCAUGGUUGUCGUCAGCUCGUGUCGUGAGAU